UACCAGCACCCCGAGUGGUCGGGACGUUUUAUUGGGCCUAAAGCAUCCGUAGCCGGUUCUACAAGUCUUCCGUUAAAUCCACCUGCUCAACAGAUGGGCUGCGGAAGAUACUAUAGAGCUAGGAGGCGGGAGAGGCAAGCGGUACUCGAUGGGUAGGGGUAAAAUCCGUUGAUCCAUUGAAGACCACCAGUGGCGAAGGCGGCUUGCCAGAACGCGCUCGACGGUGAGGGAUGAAAGCUGGGGGGAGCAAACCGG
rnacentral:rRNA from 1 species